ensembl:miRNA
UGGCAAUACAGUACAAAUACAGUGUGUUUGAUUUGCACUGUAGUUGUACUGUAUUGCCACU